rnacentral:rRNA from 1 species
GACGAACGCUGGCGGCGUGCUUAACACAUGCAAGUCGAACGGAAAGGCCCUGCUUUUGUGGGGUGCUCGAUUGGCGAACGGGUGAGUAACACGUGAGUAACCUGCCCUUGACUUUGUGAUAACUUCAGGAAACUGGGGCUAAUACCGGGUAGGAGCUCCUGCUGCAUGGGGGGGGUUGGAAAGUUUCGGCGGUUGGGGAUGGACUGGCGGCUUAUCAGCUUGUUUGUGGGGUAGGGGCGUCCCAGGGCUUUGACGGGUAGCCGGCCUGAGAGGGUGACCGGGCUCAUUGGGCCUACGAGACGCCGCAGUCGGGUACCGGCCGCAGUAGUCGAGAGUAUUGCGGAACGAGCGGGAGCGAGAGAUGAAAGUGCCGCGUGCGUGAUGCCCGCCUUCUGGUGAUAAACAGCUGUGGACUGUGCCAAAGCGUGAGUGACGGUACUGGGUCAGAAAGCACCGGCUAACUACGUG